rnacentral:rRNA from 1 species
UUCCAGACUCCUACGGGAGGCAGCAGUGAGGAAUAUUGGUCAAUGGGCGAGAGCCUGAACCAGCCAAGUCGCGUGAGGGAAGACGGUCCUAUGGAUUGUAAACCUCUUUUGCCGGGGAGCAAAAAGCGGUACGUGUACCGCAUCGAGAGUGCCCGGAGAAAAAGCAUCGGCUAACUCCGUGCCAGCAACCGCGGUAAUACGGAGGAUGCGAGCGUUAUCCGGAUUUAUUGGGUUUAAAGGGAGCGUAGAUGGGUUGUUAAGUCAGUUGUGAAAGUUUGCGGCUCAACCGUAAAAUUGCAAUUGAUACUGGCAGCCUUGAGUACAGUUGAGGUAGGCGGAAUUCGUGGUGUAGCGGUGAAAUGCUUAGAUAUCACGAAGAACUCCGAUUGCGAAGGCAGCCUACUAAACUGCCACUGACAUUGAUGCUCGAAAGUGUGGGUAUCAAACAGGAUUAGAUACCCUCGUAGGA